rnacentral:antisense_RNA from 1 species
UUUGGCAUUCGGUUUGUUAUCAACAAUUGCAUUGCCAACAGCAUGCAAUAGGUGAGUUUUACCUAAACCUGUUCCGCCAUA